rnacentral:rRNA from 1 species
UACGAAGGGGGGCUAGCGUUGCUCGGAAUCACUGGGCGUAAAGGGUGCGUAGGCGGGUCUUUAAGUCAGUGGUGAAAUCUCCGGGCUUAACCCGGAACUGCCGUUGAUACUAUUUGUCUUGAAUAUUGUGGAGGUAAGCGGAAUAUGUCAUGUAGCGGUGAAAAUGCUUAGAUAUGACAUAGAAACACCAAUUGCGAAGGCAGCUUACUACACAACGAUUGACGCUGAGGCACGAAAGCGUGGGGAUCAAACAGG